CGGGGCGUAGCUCAGCCUGGCUAGAGCGCCUGCUUUGGGAGCAGGAGGCCGCUGGUUCGAAUCCAGUCGCCCCGA
rnacentral:tRNA from 1 species